rnacentral:rRNA from 1 species
UUGAACGCUGGCGGCAGGCCUAACACAUGCAAGUCGAACGGUAACAGGAAACAGCUUGCUGUUUCGCUGACGAGUGGCGGACGGGUGAGUAAUGUCUGGGAAACUGCCUGAUGGAGGGGGAUAACUACUGGAAACGGUAGCUAAUACCGCAUAACGUCGCAAGACCAAAGAGGGGGACCUUCGGGCCUCUUGCCAUCGGAUGUGCCCAGAUGGGAUUAGCUUGUUGGUGGGGUAACGGCUCACCAAGGCGACGAUCCCUAGCUGGUCUGAGAGGAUGACCAGCCACACUGGAACUGAGACACGGUCCAGACUCCUACGGGAGGCAGCAGUGGGGAAUAUUGCACAAUGGGCGCAAGCCUGAUGCAGCCAUGCCGCGUGUAUGAAGAAGGCCUUCGGGUUGUAAAGUACUUUCAGCGGGGAGGAAGGGAGUAAAGUUAAUACCUUUGCUCAUUGACGUUACCCGCAGAAGAAGCACCGGCUAACUCCGUGCCAGCAGCCGCGGUAAUACGGAGGGUGCAAGCGUUAAUCGGAAUUACUGGGCGUAAAGCGCACGCAGGCGGUUUGUUAAGUCAGAUGUGAAAUCCCCGGGCUCAACCUGGGAACUGCAUCUGAUACUGGCAAGCUUGAGUCUCGUAGAGGGGGGUAGAAUUCCAGGUGUAGCGGUGAAAUGCGUAGAGAUCUGGAGGAAUACCGGUGGCGAAGGCGGCCCCCUGGACGAAGACUGACGCUCAGGUGCGAAAGCGUGGGGAGCAAACAGGAUUAGAUACCCUGGUAGUCCACGCCGUAAACGAUGUCGACUUGGAGGUUGUGCCCUUGAGGCGUGGCUUCCGGAGCUAACGCGUUAAGUCGACCGCCUGGGGAGUACGGCCGCAAGGUUAAAACUCAAAUGAAUUGACGGGGGCCCGCACAAGCGGUGGAGCAUGUGGUUUAAUUCGAUGCAACGCGAAGAACCUUACCUGGUCUUGACAUCCACGGAAGUUUUCAGAGAUGAGAAUGUGCCUUCGGGAACCGUGAGACAGGUGCUGCAUGGCUGUCGUCAGCUCGUGUUGUGAAAUGUUGGGUUAAGUCCCGCAACGAGCGCAACCCUUAUCCUUUGUUGCCAGCGGUCCGGCCGGGAACUCAAAGGAGACUGCCAGUGAUAAACUGGAGGAAGGUGGGGAUGACGUCAAAUCAUCAUGCCCCUUAUGACCAGGGCUACACACGUGCUACAAUGGCGCAUACAAAGAGAAGCGACCUCGCGAGAGCAAGCGGACCUCAUAAAGUGCGUCGUAGUCCGGAUUGGAGUCUGCAACUCGACUCCAUGAAGUCGGAAUCGCUAGUAAUCGUGGAUCAGAAUGCCACGGUGAAUACGUUCCCGGGCCUUGUACACACCGCCCGUCACACCAUGGGAGUGGGUUGCAAAAGAAGUAGGUAGCUUAACCUUCGGGAGGGCGCUUACCACUUUGUGAUUCAUGACUGGGGUG